UCCAAUUACGCACAUGCUGUCUUUAUAGCAAAUAUUUGCAAAACUGAUAAGCGGGAGAUAAAUGAAAAAAUAACUUUAUAGUACAUUAAAUUCAAAAGAAACAGCUGUUGAAAUGCUGAACCCAUGGUCAGCUUCCACACCGGGUUUUGCUUGGCACGCACACACACACACACACUCCUCCUCUGUUCUGAGGUCAGAGGCACAGCUAUUUUUGUUGUCUGUUAUCCUUGAUUUAAAACUCGCAGCUGGGGUAACAGUAUAAAAGGUUCUGCCAUUCACUGUUGUCCUGAGAAAAUAUUUCUGUCCCAGACAAGUACAACCUACCUACAGUGACAGUAUCAGCCACUAUUUACAAAACACAAGCUGAUAAAAGGACCACAUUACUUGGGCACCACAGUAACUCAAAUAAGAAUGAAAUCUAGACUACUUCUCUCUGUUGACCAGUUGCCUACGAUCAGUGAAAUGUACGAGGAGAAGUCUCAAGGAGGAUGCCUAACCCCUUCAUACUCAUCACAGUCACUGGAUGAAUAUAUCAUGUCCAUUUGUCAGCUGGCGCAGCCCACGUCUUCAUCAGGGUACCCGCUGUGCAGCAAUCCCUUCACAAUGCAAAGCCCACCGAAAACAAAAACCAACAGCAAGCCUCUAACGCAACAUUCCAGCUCAGCAACUCUACCAAGAAGCAGCACCCGGGGUAACAACGCUCUCAUGCCAGCGUGCUUGGACGAUGUUACAUUUACAAUCGGAAAUCACAUGGAAUGUAAAAGCCAAGUGUUUCUAAGCACAAGGGACCCACUGGAUUGGCUGUUUGCACAAUCACAAAACAAUUAAUCUUCUCAAAGAAAAUAUUCCUGCUGCUAUGUGUCUCCUCUGAACAACAUACCAAAAUGCUUUUGUGGUAUUAAACGUUUCAAAAGCUAGAGGACAACCCUGACAGACUCGAAAGUGCACUCAGAGAGCUUGAACACUCAAUUAUUUAUGUAAUAAGAUUUGCUAUGCAAAUGUGUUUGCAUUAUUGACCGGUACUAUAUUACAAUAUUGUGAUGUAUCUUUUAUUGUCGGAGUAUAUUUUAUUUAUACAACCAAUGAUUUUGUAUUUGUUAAUAAAAUAUUAUAAUUA